rnacentral:lncRNA from 1 species
GAAAAACUGCCAAAGGGCAAGGCGAAGCACCAAUUGAGAAGCAGAGGAGGAAAAACAGGGGUAGUGAACUCACCCUUUAAAAAGCCAAGGCAACGGGAAUUUCCCUGAUGAAUACGGAGGAACCCAAAGCAUAUCCUGAGGCUGUGGCUCACUGGACCCAUUUAGUCUUUCUCUGAAGAGCCAUGCCAUGAUCCAUUCUGUACUUUUUUUUUUCCUGAAGGCCAAAAGAAUAAGGGGAAAGUGGCCUUGCAUUCUUUUGAGGCAUUCGUAGAAAAGGGGCUGAUAGAGGAAACCCUCCCCUAGGUCUGAUAUAGGGGCCAUGGAAAAUGGAAAAAACAGAAGGCUAGCUAUGCCACAUUAGCAUUUCCCUGAUGAAUCAGUGAAGUAGUUAUAACUUUCCCCUGACUAGAACAUCAGAGCAAACACCAUCUGGCCCAGGUCCUCAGUGAAUCGCAAUUCUGUGCUGGCAGCCUACAGUGUCUGCUGUGGCAAAAGAGGAAGCACAAGAAAGGUGAGGUCUAGGGCAAUCACCAGAGAUGUGCCCACAGGUCCCACCCAUGGACUUAUAGAGCACUCUAUUUUGACCCCAAGUGGUGUACUGAGGUUCAGUUCUAGCACCCAGAGUUAGUUGAGACCCCACAAGUCAAAGGUUCAGUCCUCUAUAAGAUUCUCUCUACUUUAGAUGCCAGUCAUGAGAGGGGUCCACAGGCGAGCCACGAUCUGUCCAACCAACUCCCAACUCCAGGGGGUUGAACCCCCUUUGGGUUUAAUAGCUCACUAAUGUGAAUCAUAGAAUUCAGGAAAUCAGGGGUUGUAGCUCAGUGGCAGAAGCGCUUGCCUAGCAUGUGCGAGGCACUAGGUUCGAUCCUCGACACUACAUAUAAAUAAACAAAUAAAGGCAUUCUGUCCAUUUACAACUACAAUAAAUAAAUAAAAA